rnacentral:misc_RNA from 1 species
GAUGAAGAACGCAGCGAAAUGCGAUAAGUAGUGUGAAUUGCAGAAUUCAGUGAAUCAUCGAAUCUUUGAACGCACAUUGCGCCCCUUGGUAUUCCAUGGGGCAUGCCUGUUCGAGCGUCAUUUGUACCUUCAAGCCUUGCUUGGUGUUGGGUGUUUGUCUCGCCUCUGCGCGCAGACUCGCCUCAAAACAAUUGGCAGCCGGCGUAUUGAUUUCGGAGCGCAGUACAUCUCGCGCUUUGCACUCAUAACGACGACGUCCAAAAGUACAUUUUUACACUCUUGACCUCGGAUCAGGUAGGGAUACCCGCUGAACUUAAGCAUAUCAAUAAGCGGAGGA